AGAUGGAACGAAAGGUCCUUUCGGGUUCUGGAGAGUGGCGCACGGGCUGAAUAACGCGUGGGGACCUACCUCUUAGUGGGGGAUAACGGUUGGAAACGACCGCUAAUACCGCAUACGCCCUUCGGGGGAAAAGAUUUAUCGCUAAGAGAUGGACCCGCGUUGGAUUAUAUAGUUGGUGAGGUAACGGCUCACCAAGCCGGAGAUCCAUAGCUGGUUUGAGAGGAUGAUCCCCCCCACUGGGACUGAGACACGCCCCCAGACUCCUACGGGAGUGCAUUGGUGGGUACAUUAUUGGACAAGUGGGGGCAACCC
rnacentral:rRNA from 1 species